UGGAAGGACCAAGCAAGCAGGUGGAAGCAGAGUGGGGCUCAACGAGGCCACCAGGACCUUGGGAUGCCACCUGCCAGAGACUACCUGUCUUUCUUCCCUGCCUCCUACGUGAGCCAUCCAGGCUCAAAACCUUCCUCAAGCGAUGGAGGACAGAGAGGAUGCCUGCACUAACAAAGGGAAAUACCUACAGAGCAAGAACCUGAACCAGGCAAUGAGAACAAGAAAUGAGACAUUUCCUGCAACCACAUCUGGUACACUCCUAUCUGCUCCAUUUGAACUUCAAAACCUCACCCAUACAGUAAUAAAUAUCACAGCUGCUCCAGAAAAUUGACAGCUUCAUGGCAGCGGUUGAGGACAUGCUUUCCCAUUUUUUCUGGCUCAGAUUCAAGAUGAAGAUGAGGUUCUCAAUAACUUUAGGACUGCCAUUUUGGUGGAACUGAAUUAGAAGCACACUCGUACACACAUCUGCUCGCAUAGCUGCAUGUCCAUGAAACAUGACACAGACAUCUUGUCUAAGCUAUUGCAAUGUGUUGGUUUUACUGGCUUUUGAAUUUCUGUAUCUUAAGACUUGUGGCAUCUGAAGAAAGGCAGCUUUCACAAAGACGCUGACAAACUUCUCUAGAUGCGGAAGCCUGGGAUCAGCAAACCUCGUUAAUUCGCUGGGACUGAGGGUUCUGCUUGACCACCAGCUCUUUCAAACACAGCCUAUGCUCCCUGCCUCCAGAGGCCCACCAGCACCAAAGGCAGGCAUUUUAGGUAAGGGCUGUGGUUUUCCUAACGGGGCCAUGAAGGACAGAGUGAAAGUCAGUGGGAUCCUCAUUCCCAC